GCCCCGGUAGCCCAGCGGAAGAGGCAGUGGUCUCAAACACCAUACAGCGUGGGUUCGAAUCCCACCCGGGGCAC
rnacentral:tRNA from 3 species